rnacentral:rRNA from 1 species
GCUUGCACCAGAUGACGACCGGCGCACGGGUGCGUAACGCGUAUACAAUCUACCUUAUACAGGGGGAUAGCCUUUGGAAACGAAGAUUAAUACCCCAUAGUAAGUGUUAGUGGCAUCACCUACACUUUAAAGAUUUAUCGGUAUAAGAUGAGUAUGCGUUCUAUUAGCUAGAUGGAGAGGUAACGGCUCCCCAUGGCGACGAUCGAUAGGGGUCCUGAGAGGGAGAUCCCCCACACCGGUACUGAGACACGGACCAGACUCCUACGGGAGGCAGCAGUGAGGAAUAUUGGACAAUGGAGGCAACUCUGAUCCAGCCACGCCGCGUGCAGGAAGACUGCCCUAUGGGUUGUAAACUGCUUUUAUACAGGAAGAAUAAGGAGUACGUGUACUCUGAUGACGGUACUGUAAGAAUAAGCACCGGCUAACUCCGUGCCAGCAGCCGCGGUAAUACGGAGGGUGCAAGCGUUAUCCGGAAUCAUUGGGUUUAAAGGGUCCGUAGGCGGGUUUAUAAGUCAGUGGUGAAAUGCUGUGGCUCAACCAUAGCACUGCCAUUGAUACUGUAGAUCUUGAAUCGUUGUGAAGUGGUUAGAAUAUGUAGUGUAGCGGUGAAAUGCUUAGAUAUUACAUAGAAUACCGAUUGCGAAGGCAGAUCACUAACAACGUAUUGACGCUGAUGGACGAAAGCGUAUGUAGCGAACGGGAUUAGAUACCCCGGUAGUCUACGCCGUAACGAUGGAUACUAGUUGUUUGGUAUUUAUACUGAGUGACUAAGCGAAAGUGAUAAGUAUCCCACCUGGGGAGUACGUUCGCAAGAAUGAA